rnacentral:rRNA from 1 species
AUUGAACGCUGGCGGCAGGCCUAACACAUGCAAGUCGAACGAGUGGCGGACGGGUGAGUAAUGUCUGGGAAACUGCCCGAUGGAGGGGGAUAACUACUGGAAACGGUAGCUAAUACCGCAUACCAUCGGAUGUGCCCAGAUGGGAUUAGCUAGUAGGUGGGGUAACGGCUCACAUAGGCGACGAUCCCUAGCUGGUCUGAGAGGAUGACAAGCCACACUGAAACUGCGACACGGUCCAGCCUCCUACUGGAGGCAGCAGUGGGGAAUAUUGCACAAUGGGCGCAAGCCUGAUGCAGCCAUGCCGCGUGUAUGAAGAAGGCCUUCGGUUUUUAAAGUACUGUCAGCGAGGAGGCGUUACUCGCAGAAGAAGCACCGGCUAACUCCGUGCCAGCAGCCGCGGUAAUAC